UUUGCUUGCGCAACAACUUCCACCUGACUUACCUCUUCAGUUGCUUGCAUAUGUGUUUAUAUGACAUAUGUAGAUUAUGGGUUUCCUGUGUUGCUUACCUAAUUCAUGGUAUUGCCUUGAUUGAAAGAACUAUCCUUCGUCUUAUGUCAUUCACUUGGCAUGAGAUGAACCUUGAAGCUGUCUCUUUGAUCCACAUUGUCGGUGCUUGUAUUGAUGAUGUGGCCCAUUGAGCUCUGCUUGUUAUCUUGGAUAUGGAACCUGAUGUGGGCAUAGGGUCUCAUGUAGCCCCUGUUUUGCUCUCGUUUAGCAUUCAYGCUUCUCUUUAAAUGACUGCUUAUCUCGCAUGGGCUUGUUCCUGCGGGUGGGUUAUGUCAAAGAGGACUGC
rnacentral:misc_RNA from 1 species